GCAACUAAGAAACAUAAACAUCAACACAUUCAUAGAGGAAUAAUAAAACUAGCAUUAUGACACCAAAAUACAUUAAUACAUCAGCAUCUUCGCCUUUUCUUGAUACUUUUUAUCAAAAUGCAAUAAACAGUGACUUAAACACCAUGUUCGUGAUGGAUAUAUGGCAUAGAACAUUAACAACUAAUCAAUGAUAUUACCACGACACAGUAUACAAUGGAGCCGAAAUAUUGAAGAUUACUAAUGAGUCAAGAAUAAGCAGUGAUACAUGAAAUAACAUAGCGUAAAUCCUAUGGCCUCCAUAGGGCCUCUACAACUACUCCCAG
rnacentral:lncRNA from 1 species